rnacentral:rRNA from 1 species
UACGUAGGUGGCAAGCGUUAUCCGGAUUUACUGGGUGUAAAGGGCGUGUAGGCGGGAUUACAAGUCAGAUGUGAAAACUAUGGGCUCAACCCAUAGCCUGCAUUUGAAACUGCAGUUCUUGAGUGAUGGAGAGGCAGACGGAAUUCCUCGUGUAGCGGUGAAAUGCGUAGAUAUGAGGAGGAACACCAGUGGCGAAGGCGGUCUGCUGGACAUUAACUGACGCUGAGGCGCGAAAGCGUGGGGAGCAAACAGG